rnacentral:lncRNA from 1 species
GCCGCUGGGUUCUUCGGGUUGCAACCUACAGGGUCCAGAGCAGCAAAAGCGAGUCUUUCCAAAGGGCUGAGAGCAGAGCUCCGGGGUGGGGGUUUUACCCUCUUCUCUCCUCUCCCUUCUGGAUUUGUAUUAAUUUACCGCCACUUCCCGAAAGACUAAAGAGAUUUACAAGCUGGUUCUGGUCAAGCGCCCCCAAGAUUCAUUCAUCCUAGCUCUGAACCUCCUUAAACAAUGGUUGCUGGAAUUCUCAGCUCAGAACCUUGGCUCAUGCCCGCCAAAUGGAAUCCUGAGAUGCUGCACGUACAUGGUAAGAGAUACUAUCGUCUUUCAGAUUCAAGAAUAACUAUCUGAUCUAUUAGAUAGAGAGAUAUCAAGCCUGGCUUCCCACUGAAAUCAAUUCAAUCAGAGAGCAGGAAUUGGGUGUUGAUACUUUUAAAAGUUGCCCCAGAUGAUUCUGCUUUGUUAGACAAAUACUCCCAAACUGAAAGCCAGCAGCCCCAAGACAUCAGUGGUAUAGAGGAGCAAAAAGAGAAAAUUGAGCAAUUGGUCAAUGAAGUGGCUGCUAUGGUUUGGUACCCAGAUAGUUCCCCUCUAUGAGAGGGGAGAGACAAAGGCUCUCAUUCCCUGAAUGUCCUUUCUAAGACUGUUGACAGCUGUAGGCGCCCUUCAUACCUGAUUCCUGCCUGGGACUUGCCUCAACCCAAAGAAGCACCUCAUCCAAGCUUGCACUCCUCCCAGGAGCAGUCCCUAUCCAAUGACUACACAGGUAAAGAUGCAUGGCCCCCAGCUUCAACCUGGGGCCUAUCUGAAUGGUGU